rnacentral:rRNA from 1 species
AUACAUGCAAGUCGAGCGGACAGAUGGGAGCUUGCUCCCUGAUGUUAGCGGCGGACGGGUGAGUAACACGUGGGUAACCUGCCUGUAAGACUGGGAUAACUCCGGGAAACCGGGGCUAAUACCGGAUGCUUGUUUGAACCGCAUGGUUCAAACAUAAAAGGUGGCUUCGGCUACCACUUACAGAUGGACCCGCGGCGCAUUAGCUAGUUGGUGAGGUAACGGCUCACCAAGGCAACGAUGCGUAGCCGACCUGAGAGGGUGAUCGGCCACACUGGGACUGAGACACGGCCCAGACUCCUACGGGAGGCAGCAGUAGGGAAUCUUCCGCAAUGGACGAAAGUCUGACGGAGCAACGCCGCGUGAGUGAUGAAGGUUUUCGGAUCGUAAAGCUCUGUUGUUAGGGAAGAACAAGUACCGUUCGAAUAGGGCGGUACCUUGACGGUACCUAACCAGAAAGCCACGGCUAACUACGUGCCAGCAGCCGCGGUAAUACGUAGGUGGCAAGCGUUGUCCGGAAUUAUUGGGCGUAAAGGGCUCGCAGGCGGUUUCUUAAGUCUGAUGUGAAAGCCCCCGGCUCAACCGGGGAGGGUCAUUGGAAACUGGGGAACUUGAGUGCAGAAGAGGAGAGU